UAAAACAAAUCAAUUUAUGAAGACCAACACAAAUAUUAAGCCACACAACUUCUCACAUACAGCUGUGUUUAAAAAGUGAAAAUCCUUAUAAUAGCUUUUAUUUCCAGAGAAAUGCAUUGGGAACACUGUACAUUCUAUUCAAAAUCAAAACAUGAAGAAAAAAAUGAACAAAUUUGUUAGAACUUUACAGAAAGUGAAGAAAAAGGAAUAUUUGGUUGUUAAAAAGUAAUCCGUGUCUGUAUUUUUCUUUCUGUGACCCUUAUUCCACCCUUACAGGUGGAACUUAUUUAAGGACAAAGCCAGUAAAGGUUCUACUUGCUGGUUGUUGUGCAUUUCUCUGUGAAU